rnacentral:rRNA from 1 species
CCUACGGGCGGCAGCAGUGGGGAAUAUUGCACAAUGGGGGAAACCCUGAUGCAGCGACGCCGCGUGAACGAAGACGGCCUUCGGGUUGUAAAGUUCUUUUAUGUGGGAAGAAGGAAGUGACGGUACCACAUGAAUAAGCCCCGGCUAACUACGUGCCAGCAGCCGCGGUAAUACGUAGGGGGCGAGCGUUGUCCGGAAUUACUGGGCGUAAAGGGCACGCAGGCUGUGCUUCAAGUCAGCUGUAAAAGGAUGCGGCUUAACCGUGUUAUGCAGUUGAGACUGAGGUGCUGGAGUACCGGAGAGGCAAGUGGAAUUCCCAGUGUAGCGGUGAAAUGCGUAGAUAUUGGGAAGAACAUCGGUGGCGAAGGCGACUUGCUGGACGGUAACUGACGCUGAGGUGCGAAAGCCAGGGUAGCGAACGGGAUUAGAUACCCGUGUAGUC